CACGCAGGCGGUUUGUUAAGUCAGAUGUGAAAUCCCCGGGCUCAACCUGGGAACUGCAUCUGAUACUGGCAAGCUUGAGUCUCGUAGAGGGGGUAGAAUUCCAGGUGUAGCGGUGAAAUGCGUAGAGAUCUGGAGGAAUACCGGUGGCGAAGGCGGCCCCUCGGACGAAGACUGACGCUCAGGUGCGAAAGCGUGGGGAGCAAACA
rnacentral:rRNA from 1 species